CUCGUGGAUGGAUGAGAGUACCACCCAGAAUACCAGGACCCAUUGGACCGAAUAAGAGAAAACCUGGUGUGCAGAAUGAAGUCAUGACAGAUGGAACGGACCAAGCUAUAGUAAGCAUGUAUGAUGUGAAGAGCCUUUCAAGAACUUUUGGAUAA
rnacentral:lncRNA from 1 species